rnacentral:rRNA from 1 species
GACGAAGGGGGCUAGCGUUGUUCGGAUUCAUUGGGCGUAAAGGGUGCGUAGGCGGCGCGGUAAGUCGGGUGUGAAAUCUCGGAGCUUAACUCCGAAACUGCAUUCGAUACUGCCGUGCUUGAGGACUGGAGAGGAGACUGGAAUUUACGGUGUAGCGGUGAAAUGCGUAGAUAUCGUAAGGAAGACCAGUGGCGAAGGCGGGUCUCUGGGCCGAUACUGACGCUGAGGCACGAAGGUCAGGGGAGCAAACGGG